rnacentral:rRNA from 1 species
AUGUACAAACUGCUCAUUGAUAGUGACUUGAAAGGAAUUUUUCUCUCAACAGCACCAGGCCGCUGGGUGCAGGCGUGCCGCACCGUGAUGAGUGUAGAAGGAUCCAGCUGGGAGCGUUUUGGCGCGCGUCCGUACAUGGCGAAUCAAGAAACAUCAGCCGUUGGAUCAUUUGAGCUUUGUAUUGAUGAAGAAUGGAGAUUCACCCUGUGUAACAAAUCAACGGCUAACAGUUUGCUUCUACAAUGUUCUGGAUGCCUAGCCCAAGUUCAAAAAUUGCAGUACUAUAGCAGUAGAGAUAGAGAUAUCUAUAUCUAUACCACUAUAUAG